CACGUAGGGCGCGAGCGUUGUCCGGAAUUAUUGGGCGUAAAGAGCUCGUAGGCGGCCUGUUGCGUCCGCUGUGAAAGCCCGGGGCUUAACCUCGGGUCGGCAGUGGAUACGGGCAGGCUAGAGGUAGGUAGGGGAGAAUGGAAUUCCCGGUGUAGCGGUGAAAUGCGCAGAUAUCGGGAGGAACACCGGUGGCGAAGGCGGUUCUCUGGGCGUUACCUGACGCUGAGGAGCGAAAGCGUGGGGAGCGAACAGG
rnacentral:rRNA from 1 species